GUCGAGAAUCUUUCACAAUGGGGGCAACCCUGAUGGAGCGACGCCGCGUGGAGGAUAAGGUCUUCGGAUUGUAAACUCCUGUCAUGCGUGAACAAGGUUGCUUGGUUAAUACCUGGGCAAAUUGAUGGUAACGCAAGAGGAAGAGACGGCUAACUCUGUGCCAGCAGCCGCGGUAAUACAGAGGUCUCAAGCGUUGUUCGGAAUCACUGGGCGUAAAGGGUGCGUAGGUGGCGUGGUAAGUCAGAUGUGAAAGCACGGGGCUCAACCUCGGAACUGCAUCCGAUACUGCCAUGCUAGAGUACUGGAGAGGUGACUAGAAUUCUCGGUGUAGCAGUGAAAUGCGUAGAUAUCGAGAGGAAUACCAAAGGCGUAGGCAGGUCACUGGACAGUUACUGACACUGAGGCACGAAGGCCAGGGGAGCGAACGGGAUUAGAAACCCGGGUAGUCC
rnacentral:rRNA from 1 species